rnacentral:rRNA from 1 species
UACGUAGGGGGCAAGCGUUGUCCGGAUUUAUUGGGCGUAAAGAGCGUGUAGGCGGCCUGGAAGGUCAGCUGUGAAAACCUGCAGCUUAACUGUGGGCGUGCGGUCGAUACGGGCAUCACUGGAGUUCGGCAGGGGAGACUGGAAUUCCUGGUGUAGCGGUGAAAUGCGCAGAUAUCAGGAGGAACACCAGCGGCGAAGGCGGCGCUCUGGGCUGGAACUGACGCUGAGGAGCGAAAGCGUGGGGAGCGAACAGG